rnacentral:rRNA from 1 species
UAGGGAAUAUUGCGCAAUGGAGGAAACUCUGACGCAGCGACGCCGCGUGGGUGAUGAAGGCCUUCGGGUCGUAAAGCCCUGUCGGAAGGGAAGAAACACAAUUUGGCUAACAUCCAAGUUGCUUGACGGUACCUUUAAAGGAAGCACCGGCUAACUACGUGCCAGCAGCCGCGGUAAUACGUAGGGUGCUAGCGUUGUUCGGAAUCAUUGGGCGUAAAGCGCGUGUAGGUGGUCAGUAAAGUCGGGUGUGAAAUCCCUCGGCUCAACCGAGGAAGUGCAUUCGAAACUCACUGGCUUGAGAGUGGUAGAGGAAGGUGGAAUUCCUAGUGUAGAGGUGAAAUUCGUAGAUAUUAGGAGGAAUACCGGAGGCGAAGGCGGCCUUCUGGACCAUUUCUGACAC